UCUUAGUGGCGGACGGGUGAGUAACCGCGUGGGUAACCUGCCCCAUACCGGGGGAUACCACCUGGAAACAGGUGCUAAUACCGCAUAAGCGCACGGGAGCGCAUGCUCCUGUGUGAAAAACUCCGGUGGUAUGGGAUGGACCCGCGUCUGAUUAGCCAGUUGGCAGGGUAACGGCCUACCAAAGCGACGAUCAGUAGCCGGCCUGAGAGGGUGGACGGCCACAUUGGGACUGAGACACGGCCCAAACUCCUACGGGAGGCAGCAG
rnacentral:rRNA from 1 species